UACGGAGGAUCCGAGCGUUAUCCGGAUUUAUUGGGUUUAAAGGGUGCGCAGGCGGGAGAUUAAGUCGGCGGUGAAAUUUUGCAGCUCAACUGUAAAAGUGCCUUCGAAACUGGUUUCCUUGAGUGUAGAUGAAGUAGGCGGAAUUUGUGGUGUAGCGGUGAAAUGCAUAGAUAUCACGAGGAACUCCGAUUGCGCAGGCAGCUUACUAAACCAUAACUGACGCUCAGGCACGAAGGCGUGGGGAUCAAACAGGAUUAGAUACCCCCGUAGU
rnacentral:rRNA from 1 species